CAGACCCUUCUAAAUGACUUGGACAAGAGUACGGGCCGCUACAGAGAUGAGGUGAACCUCAAGACAGCAAUCAUGUCCUUCAUCAACGCGGUUCUCAGUCAAGGAGCAGGGGAGACCAGUUUGGAGUUCAGAAUUCAUUUGCGGUAUGAAUUUCUAAUGCUGGGCAUCCAACCAGUGAUCGAUAAAUUACGGUCCCAUGAAAACUCCACGUUAGAUCGGCAUUUGGACUUCUUUGAG